GACGAACGCUGGCGGCGUGCUUAACACAUGCAAGUCGAACGGAAAGGCCCUGCUUUUGUGGGGUGCCCGAGUGGCGAACGGGUGAGUAACACGUGAGUAACCUGCCCUUGACUUUGGGAUAACUUCAGGAAACUGGGGCUAAUACCGGAUAGGAGCUCCUGCUGCAUGGUGGGGGUUGGAAAGUUUCGGCGGUUGGGGAUGGACUCGCGGCUUAUCAGCUUGUUGGUUGGGUAGUGGCUUACCAAGGCUUUGACGGGUAGCCGGCCUGAGAGGGUGACCGGCCACAUUGGGACUGAGAUACGGCCCAGACUCCUACGGGAGGCAGCAGUGGGGAAUAGUGCACAAUGGGCGGAAGCCUGAUGCAGCAACGCCGCGUGCGGGAUGACGGCCUUCGGGUUGUAAACCGCUUUCGCCUGUGACGAAGCGUGAGUGACGGUAAUGGGUAAAGAAGCACCGGCUAACUACGUG
rnacentral:rRNA from 1 species